UGAUUUAGGUAGUUUGGUGGGGUAACGGCCUACCAAGCCAACGAUCAGUAGCCGACCUGAGAGGGUGACCGCCCACAUUGGGACUGAGACACGGCCCAAACUCCUACGGGAGGCAGCAGUGGGGAAUAUUGCACAAUGGGGGAAACCCUGAUGCAGCGACGCCGCGUGAGCGAAGAAGUAUUUCGGUAUGUAAAGCUCUAUCAGCAGGGAAGAAAAUGACGGUACCUGACUAAGAAGCACCGGCUAAAUACGUGCCAGCAGCCGCGGUAAUACGUAUGGUGCAAGCGCUAUCCGGAUUUACUGGGUGUAAAGGGAGCGUAGACGGCUGUGUAAGUCUGAAGUGAAAGCCCGGGGCUCAACCCCGGGACUGCUUUGGAAACUAUGCAGCUAGAGUGUCGGAGAGGUAAGUGGAAUUCCCAGUGUAGCGGUGAAAUGCGUAGAUAUUGGGAGGAACACCAGUGGCGCAGGCGGCUUACUGGACGAUGACUGACGUUGAGGCUCGAAAGCGUGGGGAGCAAACAGGAGUCCAUACCCUGGUAGUCCACGCCGUAAACGACCCCUAAUGGGUGUCGGGGAGCAAAGCUCUUCGGUGCCGCAGCAAACGCAAUAAGUAGUCCACCUGGGGAGUACGUUCGCAAGAAUGAAACUCAAAGGAAUUGACGGGGACCCGCACAAGCGGUGGAGCAUGUGGUUAAUUCGAAGCAACGCGAAGAACCUUACCUGCUCUUGACAUCCCGGUGACCGGCAUGUAAUGAUGCCUUUUCUUCGGAACACCGGUGACAGGUGGUGCAUGGUUGUCGUCAGCUCGUGUCGUGAGAUGUUGGGUUAAGUCCCGCAACGAGCGCAACCCUUAUCUUCAGUAGCCAGCAAUUCGGAUGGGCACUCUGGAGAGACUGCCAGGGAUAACCUGGAGGAAGGUGGGGAUGACGUCAAAUCAUCAUGCCCCUUAUGAGCAGGGCUACACACGUGCUACAAUGGCGUAAACAAAGGGAAGCGAGCCUGCGAGGGUAAGCAAAUCUCAAAAAUAACGUCUCAGUUCGGAUUGUAGUUUGCAACUCGACUACAUGAAGCUGGAAUCGCUAGUAAUCGCGAAUCAGCAUGUCGCGGUGAAUACGUUCCCGGGUCUUGCACACACCGCCUGUC
rnacentral:rRNA from 1 species